GGACGAGCCUCUGGAGAGACUCUAAUGAGCACCGAAGGGGAAAGCCUUUUAAAGGUGAAACUCUCAGGUAAAAGGACAGGGGAUUUUAA
rnacentral:ncRNA from 1 species